rnacentral:rRNA from 1 species
UACGGAGGGUGCAAGCGUUAUCCGGAUUCACUGGGUUUAAAGGGUGCGUAGGCGGAUUCUUAAGUCCGUGGUGAAAUCUCCAAGCUUAACUUGGAAACUGCCAUGGAUACUAUUAGUCUUGAAUGUUGUGGAGGUUAGCGGAAUAUGUCAUGUAGCGGUGAAAUGCAUAGAUAUGACAUAGAACACCAAUUGCGAAGGCAGCUGGCUACACAAAUAUUGACGCUGAGGCACGAA